GAUGAACGCUAGCGGCAGGCCUAACACAUGCAAGUCGAGGGAGAAGCCCUUUCGGGGGCAGAAACCGGCGCACGGGUGCGUAACGCGUAUGCAACCUACCUUUCACAGGGGGAUAGCCCGAAGAAAUUUGGAUUAAUACCCCAUAAUAUUAUUGGAUGGCAUCAUUUGAUAAUUAAAACUGCGGUGGUGAAAGAUGGGCAUGCGUCCUAUUAGCUAGUUGGAGUGGUAACGGCACCCCAAGGCUACGAUAGGUAGGGGUCCUGAGAGGGAGAUCCCCCACACUGGGACUGAGACAGGGACCAGACUCCUACGGGAGGCAGCAGUGAGGAAUAUUGGUCAAUGGUCGGAAGACUGAACCAGCCAUGCCGCGUGCAGGAAGAAUGCCUUAUGGGUUGUAAACUGCUUUUAUAUGGGAAGAAUAAGGCGUACGUGUACGUUGAUGACGGUACCAUAUGAAUAAGCAUCGGCUAACUCCGUG
rnacentral:rRNA from 1 species